rnacentral:rRNA from 1 species
UUCCAGCUCCAAUAGCGUAUAUUAAAGUUGUUGCAGUUAAAAAGCUCGUAGUUGAACUUUGGGUUUGGUUGGCCCGUCCGAUUUUCUUCGUGUACGGGAUCCAACCGAACCUUUCCUUCUGGCUAACCUAGGGUACUUGUAUCCUAGGCGAACCAGGACUUUUACUUUGAAAAAAUUAGAGUGUUCAAAGCAGGCGCAAGCUCGAAUAUAUUAGCAUGGAAUAAUAGAAUAGGACGUUUGGUUCUAUUUUGUUGGUUUCUAGGACCAUCGUAAUGAUUAAUAGGGACGGUCGGGGGCAUCAGUAUUCAAUUGUCAGAGGCGAAAUUCUUGGAUUUAUUGAAGACUAACUACUGCGAAAGCAUUUGCCAAGGACGUUUUCAUUAAUCAAGAACGAAAGUUAGGGGAUCGAAGAUGAUCAGAUACCGUCGUAGUCUUAACCAUAAACUAUGCCGACUAGGGAUCGGGUGGCGUUUUCUUAUGACCCACUCGGCACCUUACGAGAAAUCAGAGUCUUUGGGUUCUGGGGGGAGUAUGGUCGCAAGGCUGAAACUUAAAGGAAUUGACGGAAGGGCACCACCAGGAGUGGAGCCUGCGGCUUAAUCUGACUCAACACGGGGAAACUCACCAGGUCCAGACACAAUAAGGAUUGAUAGAUUGAGAGCUCUUUCUUGAUUUUGUGGGUGGUGGUGCAUGGCCGUUCUUAGUUGGUGGAGUGAUUUGUCUGCUUAAUUGCGAUAACGAACGAGACCUUAACCUGCUAAAUAGUGCUGCUAGCAUUUGCUGGUUGCGCACUUCUUAGAGGGACUAUCGGUUUCAAGCCGAUGGAAGUUUGAGGCAAUAACAGGUCUGUGAUGCCCUUAGACGUUCUGGGCCGCACGCGCGCUACACUGACGGAGCCAGCGAGUACAACCUUGGCCGAGAGGUCUGGGUAAUCUUGUGAAACUCCGUCGUGCUGGGGAUAGAGCAUUGCAAUUAUUGCUCUUCAACGAGGAAUUCCUAGUAAGCGCAAGUCAUCAGCUUGCGUUGAUUACGUCCCUGCCCUU